CAGUUUUCUUGUGAUGAUCUAAUGAAGUUCCACCCAGUUGUACAUUAAAAUGGGAGCGGCCUGCGUCGCAGGGAGAGAGUGGAAGGCGAACAGUAUUCUCAUUCAAGACUUCAGCAGAGGCUUUCCUUGUAUUUUCUUCAAAUAAUUUGGGAAAGUGCUCCUAAUACAAACUUCUGGAGGCUGAAGAAAGCUCGGCUUCUGAAUAAUACUGAUGCAUCAUGGGAAAUGUUGCACACAGGAUGAUCUGCCAUUAGUUAAUAUUUCACAGACCUGGACGAAAAUAUCAAGUCCAAGCCUAGGCAAGAGGCAGACAGCUUCAAGUAAAAACUUUAAUGAAUGUAUUAAACCACAUAAAUAAAAUUUAAUGGAUAAAGUUA